GCCGGGUGCUGUGGCUCACGCCUGUAAUCCCAACACUUUGGGAGGCCGAGGCGUGCGGAUCAUGAGGUCAGGAGAUCGAGACCAGCCUGGCCAACAUGGUGAAACCCCAUCUCUACUAAAAAUACAAAAAUUAGCUGGGUGUGGUGCGCGUGCCUGUAGUCCCAGCUACUCAGGAGGCUGAGGAUUCUUCUGCCUCAGUCUCCCAAGUAGCUAGGAUUACAGGCACCCACCACCAUGCCCAGCUAAUUUUUGUACUUUUAGUAGAGAUGGGGUUUCACCAUGUUGCCAGGCUGGUCUCGAUCUCCUGACCUCAAGCGAUCCACCCGCCUCA
rnacentral:SRP_RNA from 1 species